UGAGGAUGUGUAAUAGAGACAUAAAAGA
rnacentral:piRNA from 1 species